AAGAGCAUAGAUCCCCUGUUCUUACACCCAGAGUUCCUGCCCAUCCUGUACCCAGCUCCAGGGUGGUGGACUGGCACACUGGAAAUGAUCAGCCACGGGAGGAAGGAGAUGCUGGUUUGUUUUAGAGCAGUUCCUUUGCCUCUGGAAGAUCACAGGUUUCAGAGGGAUUUCCGUCUUUUUCUGCCGCAGCUUAACAAAGACUGAGAUUUCAUAUGAACCUCUGAAUGUACAGGACCCAACAUGCACUGUGUAUAAAGGUUGGGACUGAAAUUUGAAAAGAACAUGACUCCAGACAAAAGACUCACUGAGCCUUGGUUAGCGUUGAUUUGCAAGGAUGCCUAUUGAGACACUGAAUAAGCCUUAGCUCUGAAAACAACAGUACAGCAGGGCUGAAUCACAGCAGUUCUGUUUGCAUGGCCAUUUAUGUAGCCCAGAGUUGUCUCCCACAGUUUGGGGUUCUUCACACUUUGGGUGAUCUUCCUUGGUUCCCUCUGCAGUCAAUUGGGAGAGAUGAGAGCCUCCAGGAGAUUCAUUCUUAAUUGAUCUACUGACUUCGAAUUAUGGCUAGUUCGCACUACUAUGACUACAGUCCAUUUUUAAAGCCUGGAGAACAGCAAUAUAAAUCCUCAGAUAGUGAUCAGAAGAUGUUACUGUGGGGAAAUAAAAGGUGGUGACCUGAAGUCAGGAGUAUAUGCAGGUGAAAAGGAAGCAGCUCAGAGACUGUGGCUCCAGAAGGACCAGGCAAUGGAAAACUAUCGGCCAGGUUCUUCUUUCUGCAGAGGGCAGCAAUAUGGGGAGCAGGAGCCAAUGGCCACAGCAAACCACUCAGCCAAGCCAUGGUUAUCAUCAUCUUUUGUCCUGAGUCUUCUGGUGAGAUAUGGCAGCUUGGCUGUGUGCCCUACCUCCCAUGGGCACAGCCUCCAUCUCAUUCUCGCCUGUGCCAGCCCAUGCUGCUGCUCUGCACAGCCACGCCUUCCCACCCUCCCACCUCAUUGCAGCUUCCAUAGUCCGUGCUGCAGACAUGCUUCAAAAGGUGCCAUGUAAAUGGUUUCUAAAUGAAAGGAGAGAUGAUUGGAAGAAUAGCUUGAAAAAAAUCCAUAUUAGAACAUGAGCAUAAUGUUUGUUUUACUCUUCUGCUCUGUGAGAGAUGUUGCAGUGCCACAUGUGAGCCUAGCUUAAAAAGAUCAAGAUGUCUUGAUC